rnacentral:piRNA from 1 species
UCGGUGGACUUUCUUAAAAUA